AGUGAACGCUGGCGGCAGGCCUAAUACAUGCAAGUCGAACGGCAGCACAGCAGAGCUUGCUCUGUGGGUGACGAGUGGCGGACGGGUGAGGAAUACGUGGGAAUCUGCCCAGUCGUGGGGGAUAACGUAGGGAAACUUACGCUAAUACCGCAUGCGCCCUUCGGGGGAAAGCCGGGGACCUUCGGGCCUGGCGCGAUUGGAUGAGCCCACGUCGGAUUAGCUAGUUGGCGGGGUAAAGGCCCACCAAGGCGACGAUCCGUAGCUGGUCUGAGAGGAUGAUCAGCCACACUGGAACUGAGACACGGUCCAGACUCCUACGGGAGGCAGCAGUAGGGAAUAUUGGACAAUGGGCGCAAGCCUGAUCCAGCCAUGCCGCGUGAGUGAAGAAGGCCCUCGGGUUCGUAAAA
rnacentral:rRNA from 1 species